CCGGACCUCACCUGGCCGCCUUCGUUCUCGAUGCCCGCCAGGAAGAUGGCGGAGCCCACGAAGAGGCAGAUGCAGAGAUGCAGGUGCACGGUGGUGCGCGAGCCCUGGAUGGGCCGCACCAGCAGGAAGCCCCCUGAGGAUGCCCGAAGCCCCUUCCGCUGCCUGCUGUUCUCCCUGGAAGGGCGGCAAAGCCUGGUGAUGCGCGGAGGCUGGCUUCUGGGCCUGAACGGUGUCCUCACUGUGCAAGACCACGGCAAGAGAUGGGAUUACAGUGGGGUCUCAGUGCCCACCCUGGGCACAGGCCCUGGGGACGCCCAUCCCGGAGAGGGUGCAUCAGAUCAUAAAACCCAGCAGCCACCACUGUUCUGUGCUUUGCUGCCUCCCUUCCUGGCAAUUCCAUGAGGCCCCUGUACCAUCACAAUUCUCCAAGCGGUUGGUGAAGAUGUCCCCAGAUAAAGAAGUGAACCCCGGAGAGCAGCGACAGGCCGUGGCGUUGACACAUCUGGAGUUCAGGGGGCACCAGCGAGCACAGUCUGUGGGGAUGGUGACCACAGUUGGAAGGUGAGGAAACAGGUCCAGAGAGUCCAGAGUCCCACGGGAGCCGGAGAGGCCCGAAGGGGCCCUUCAUGGGUGCUAGGCCGGCACCAAGAAGAGAAAUGGCAGAGCCUCGGGGCCUCCAUGCUUCCAGAGCUGGCCUUUCUGGGCCAGCGCUUACCUUGGUGGGAAACUUGUAUUUCAGGGGCUUCUGGGCAGCAACAGGGAAUCACAAGAUAGAAGAGUUGUUUUCUUUCCUAAUAAGUCACAUGACUGGCUUGUCUCUUGAGGCGUCCAAUAAUUUUUUAAAAACGCUAUUAUUUAUAAAGUGCUUCUUCAUCUCA